rfam:Mycoplasma parvum str. Indiana, complete genome.
AAUUAAAUUAUUAAGGGCUAGUAAAGGAUUUCUUGGAAAUGAUAGGCGAUGAAGGACGUGCAAAUCUGCGAAAAGUAUCGGGGAGUCGAUUAGAGACCUUGAUCCGGUAAUCUCCGAAUGUGGAAACACAGUAGAAACUAAUCUUUCUACUAUUGUUGGGUGAAUUAAAUAACCCGACAAGGCGAACUCGGCGAAGUGAAACAUCUCAGUAGCCGGAGGAAAAGAAAACGAAGCGAUUCCCUCAGUAGUGGUGAGCGGAAGGGGAAAAGGCUAAACCGAAAGAUCUAGACGAAAUUUCGGGGUUGUAGGACCUCGAUAAAGCUAUUUUGAAAUGUAGUGGAAAAUCACUGGAAUGUGAUGUUAUAAAGGGUGAUAGCCCCGUACAUUAAACAUCGAGAAAAGCUUGAGGUAUCCUGAGUAGGGCGGGACAUGUGAACCCUGUUUGAAUCUGCCCCGACCAUGGGGUAAGCCUAAAUACUAAUCAUUUACCGAUAGUGAAUAAGUACUGUGAAGGAAAGAUGAAAAAGAACCCAGAUAUGGGAGUGAAAUAGAACUUGAAAUUACUAGCCUACAAAGAGUCGAAGCACAUUAAUGUGUGACGGCGUGCGUUUUGAAGUAUGAGCCGGAGAGUUAUUGUAAGUUGCAAAGUUAAGCCGUGAAAAAGGUGGAGCUGGAGCGAAAGCAAGUCUUAAUAGGGCGUUAAGUAGCUUACAAUAGACCCGAAAGGGGACGAGCUAUUCAUGAGCAGGUUGAAAUUUGGAUAAAACUAGAUGAAGGACUGAACCGACUGUCGUUGAAAUGAUAGCGGAGGACUUGUGAAUAGAGGUGAAAUUCCAAUCGAGUUCCCUGAUAGCUGGUUUUUGUCGAUAUAGUUUUAGGACUAGCGUCAAAUAAAUUGAUAAUUGGAGGUAAAGCACUAAAUCUAUAAGGGCACUUCGCUGUGUACUAAAUAGAAUUAAACUCUGAAUUCCAGUUAUUUUACUUUGGCAGUGAGACUAUUUGGGAUAAGCUUUAUAGUCGUGAGGGAAAGAGCCCAGACCAACAAAUAAGGUCCCUAAAUUAAGCUAAGUGGAAAAGGAAGUCAAAAUUCAUAAACAACUAGGAUGUUGGCUUAGAAGCAGCCAUCAUUUAAAGAGUGCGUAAUAGCUCACUAGUCUAGUUUUUUGGCGCCGCAAGUACAACGGGGCUAAGCUUAAUACCGAAUUUUUGGAUUUAAGAUUUAAUAAUUUUAAGUGGUAGACAAAUGUUGUAUAAGGGUUGAAGUUUGAACGAGAGUAUAAAUGGACUUUAUACAAGUAAGAAUUCCGGCGUAAGUAACGAAUGAAAGUGAGAAUCUUUCUAGCCGAUUGAUCAAGGUUUCCGGGGCUAGGUUCGUCCUCCUCGGGUUAGUCGAUCCUAAGGUGAGGCCGAAAGGCGUAGCCGAUGGACAACAGGUUAAUAUUCCUGUACUACCUUAGAUUGUCAACGGGCGGACAAAAGAGGUUAAAGUAAAAGGAUUAUUGGAUUUCCUUCUAAGUUUCGAAGCAAGUCGAGGCUGAAAAUCACCCCGACAUUAAUUGCAAGAAACGAAUGCUAUUUUUGGUAGGGAUAUCAGGAAGAAUUACUACCAAUCUCUUUUCGCGAAAAAACUCUAGACUUAAAUCUAAGGUAUUCGUACCGAAACCGAACACACGUGAUCAAGGAGAAUAUCCUAAGGCUAGCGAGCUAACUACAGUUAAGGAACUCUGCAAAUUAACUCUGUAACUUAGGGAGAAAGAGUGCCCCAGAAGGAAUCUGGGGCCACAGUAAAGAACGAGGGCGAACUGUUUAACAAAAACACAGCUAUAUGCAAAAUUCGAAUAUGAAGUAUAUGUGGCGACACCUGCCCGGUGCCAGAAGGUCAAAGAAGGUUGUUAGGCUAGCUUCGGCUAGCCAAAGCUUCUAACUUAAGCCCUGGUGAACGGCGGCCGUAACUAUAACGGUCCUAAGGUAGCGAAAUUCCUUGUCAGGUAAAUUCUGUCCCGCUUGAAUGGUGUAAUCAGCUCUUGACUGUCUCGACUGUAGGCUCGGUGAAAUCCUGGCGAGAGUGAAGACACUCUCUUGCCGCUACGGGACGAACAGACCCUAUGAAGCUUUACUGUAACUUGAUAUUGUAAAGAGUUUUUGAUAUUAGAGAAUAUGUAGGAGACUAGGAAGAUGAUGCGCUAGUAUUGUUGGAGUCGACAGUGGAAUACUACAAUUUCAAUGACUUUUUGCUUACAUAUUGCCAUAAAUCUGGUGUAUGGACAGUGUUAGGUGGGCAGUUUGACUGGGGCGGUUGCCUCCCAAAUUGUAACGGAGGCGUUCAAAGGUACACUUAGCGCGAAUGGAAAUCGCGCAGAAAGGGUAAUACUAUAUGUGUGCUUGAUUGUGAGACAAACAAGUCGACCAAGUAAGAAAUUAGGAUAUAGUGAUCCGGUGGUUCCAAAUGGAAGGGCCAUCGCUCAACGGAUAAAAGCUACUCUAGGGAUAACAGGGUAAUAAUCUCCAAGAGUUCAUAUCGACGAGAUUGUUUGCUACCUCGAUGUCGACUCAUCUUAUCCUGGGGGUGAAGCAGCUCCCAAGGGUUCGGCUGUUCGCCGAUUAAAAAGAUACGUGAGUUGGGUUCAAACCGUCGUGAGACAGGUUGGUCUCUAUCUAUAGCGGCUGAAGGAAAUUUGAGAGGAUUCAUUCCUAGUACGAGAGGACCGGAAUGAACAUACCUCUGUUGUACCAGUUGUUUUGCCAGAAGCAUUGCUGGAUAGAUAAGUAUGGAUUAGAUAAACGCUGAAAGCAUCUAAGUGUGAAACUAACCUCAAAAAAAUUUCCCUCUUUAAGUGGAACUUAAAGAUAAGCAUGGUGGCAGACUACCACCUCGAUAGGCUACAAAUGUAAGUACAGUAAUGUAUUAAGUUAAGUAGUACUAAUUAUGCGAAAGAUUUAAUGAG